UUUUUGUCAGAAAUUUCAAGAUGACAUCAGCACAAUCAAAUGGGACUGAAGGUAAAAGGCAUUUUCUAUACCCCUACUUUCAGAUGUGGAAGAUGGAAUGAUACAUACACAACUCUGAAGAACACUGUACUAAGCUGCUGGGCAAAGAAGCAUGCUGCUACAGCAAUUGGGAUUCAACAUUCUUACCAACUUGGAUGUAAAAAUGAGCUGGGUGAGAAAUCUAAUCCAAGAGGAAUAUAACCACAGAAUGGACUUUUCAGACUAAGCUUGUUAAAAAAUUUUGGAAUUAUUCUAAUCUUUGAGCUUUACAAUGGUAUCUUAAGCAAGCUUGUGAUCAGUUUUUGGUAAAUAUUUGUAUUUCAGACAAAUUUCUUUCUUCCGAUCCAAUGAGAUAAUAUUUUAAGGAUUGAGAGAGAACUAUGAAUAAAUAAAUGUCUUUUUACUUCAUUGCCCCAUUAACUUUAGAAAGCAAAAUGUUUUCUGCAAAUGAGUCUAGAAAGUAAUCCAGUAUUUGUGGAUUUUGGGUUCAGAUUUUGUUGGGGUUGAGGUUAGGAUUUUCUGCUAUUGUUGUCUUGGAGGAUUUCUAUUGUGGGUUUGGAGAGAGGCUACCAUGGGGAUAGACUCUACCAAGCUAAAGGAACUGUCCAUCACCUCCAAAACUUUGAAAAGUUUUUGUUCCUGAAGGCACAUGGCUGAAUUGCAAAAUGAAAGAGUAAUUUGUUUACCUCUUUCAAGAUUUUGAAAAUAUUUCCCUAACAUUUAGGAUCCAGUCCAGAAAUAUGGAUUUACCUUAUCAGAAAAUUUCAAGAGGAUUCAAUGAAACAUUUUUUGUUAUAUUUUAAAUUAGAUUUUACAAUGGACCUUUUUUAUUUUAUUUUAAUUUGAGUUAGCAUUCUCAUCUUUCUAAUCAAUAUCCUUAUUUUAUGAAAAUUGAAUGUUCACUAUAUCCCAUGCACUAAAUAAAAUAGUGCAAUGGUUUAAUUUUGCAGAGUGCCCUCUAUUUGCUAGCCAGUAGGCAGUAGAUGUGAACCAAAAUAAUAAAGAGGAUUCAAGAAAUUCUCAUAUCAUGAUAUCUUACACUUUGGGCAUUUCAGCCUAAGAAAGCAUUGUUGUAAAAUGUGUUUUCCUGGCUUUUUGGAUUUUAAAUAGAAUAGAAAUGAAACUUCAGGAUUUCUCUAAGACUGCUUUAAACUCCAGUCAAUCCAUGUUCAGAUUUUUUUUUAUUCUUAUAUCUUAAUGUGUGCCCAUGAAUUUUGGGGCAUACAUCAGGUUGCUAAAGUGGUCUUUUCCAAACCAGAAAUAAGGCUUUGCUACAAUUUUUAAUUAGGAUGGUAUUUGAAAUAUCAGCUACUUUGCAAAGUUUUCUACAUGCUUCUGUCCUAUACAAGUGGAGCAACUAAAUGACGAGAAUUAGGAGAAGAAAACUUUUCUCAUAUGAUCAGCAAGAGAACAAUAUGCUAAUAUUAAAAAAGGAAUCGGGAUUUUUUUUUGUUUUAAUCCUGAGAGCAUUACUUGUGGGUUUUCUUCUCAAGCACUUUACCAUCAAUUUUUUGCCCCUUUGAAUUAUUAAUACAGGAACAGUGCUGGGCUCAUCGGUGACUUCUGAAUUCCCGUUAGCAAGUCACAAUUUGAUGUGACACUGAAGAGUGAAAGCAGUCUCUAUUAACAAUGUACUCUAACCUAAAAUAGACACACAUUAAUAUCUGUAUUUUGGCCUGCUCCCUCUAACUCUUGGAUUUUGCUUAUUUCAUUUUUUGUUAAAAGCUUUUCUCUGGUCAUGAUGCUUUUUUUUUUUAAUAAAGUAGCUUUACAUUGUUCAUUUCA